rnacentral:rRNA from 1 species
UGGGGAAUUUUGGACAAUGGGCGAAAGCCUGAUCCAGCAAUGCCGCGUGUGUGAAGAAGGCCUUCGGGUUGUAAAGCACUUUUGCCCGGAAAGAAAUCCUUGGCUCUAAUACAGUCGGGGGAUGACGGUACCGGAAGAAUAAGCACCGGCUAACUACGUGCCAGCAGCCGCGGUAAUACGUAGGGUGCAAGCGUUAAUCGGAAUUACUGGGCGUAAAGCGUGCGCAGGCGGUUUGCUAAGACCGAUGUGAAAUCCCCGGGCUCAACCUGGGAACUGCAUUGGUGACUGGCAGGCUAGAGUAUGGCAGAGGGGGGUAGAAUUCCACGUGUAGCAGUGAAAUGCGUAGAGAUGUGGAGGAAUACCGAUGGCGAAGGCAGCCCCCUGGGCCAAUACUGACGCUCAUGCACGAAAGCGUGGGGAGCAAACAGGAUUAGAUACCCUGGUAGUCCACGCCCUAAACGAUGUCAACUAGUUGUUGGGGAUUCAUUUCCUUAGUAACGUAGCUAACGCGUGAAGUUGACCGCCUGGGGAGUACGGUCGCAAGAUUAAAACUCAAAGGAAUUGACGGGGU